rnacentral:rRNA from 1 species
UACGGAGGAUGCAAGCGUUAUCCGGAUUCAUUGGGUUUAAAGGGUGCGUAGGCGGGCUAUUAAGUCAGUGGUGAAAUCCUGCAGCUUAACUGCAGAACUGCCGUUGAUACUGAUAGUCUUGAGUUUGGUUAAGGUAGUCGGAAUGUGUAAUGUAGCGGUGAAAUGCUUAGAUAUUACACAGAACACCAAUUGCGUAGGCAGCUUACUGAGCCGACACUGACGCUGAGGCACGAAAGCGUGGGGAUCAAACAGGA